rnacentral:misc_RNA from 1 species
GGAAGGAUCAUUAACAAAUCGUGUCUUCCUUCUGGGAAGAUAUAAGUGCUUCCCCUUUUGGGGGGGGAGUGUACACACGCUUUAAUUGUAUAAUUGUAAACUGUCACUAAAAAUCAUAAAACACUUUUAACAAUGGAUCUCUAGGCUCUUGCAACGAUGAAGAACGCAGUAAUGUGCGAAAAGUAAUGCGAUUUGCAUACCUCUGUGAGUCAUCUAGUCUUUGAACGCAAAUGGCACUGUCAUGUCAAGUGAUAGUAUGCCUGUUUGAGAACCAUAUAAUCAAUCACAUCUAGUUAGAUGUGGACAAUAUGACCUCUACCCUGCCUGGUGUACUGGUUUGAAUGAAUUGAUGCACAGUGUGCAAUAUAUAGAGUGUGAUAAUAUUUCACUCACGUUGUAACACUACAUGUGCGAAAUGUUUAUAGAUUAAACAUCAAUACACAAUGGUCUCAAAUCAGGCAAGGCUACCCGCUGAACUUAAGCAUAUCAGUAAGCGGAGGAAAAGAAACUAACAAGGAUUCCCUCAGUAACGGCGAGUGAAGUGGGAAAAGCUCAAAUUUAUAAUCUGGCGCAAGCCCGAAUUGUAGUCUAAAGAGGUGCAAUCAUUGCAAGCAGUGUGUUCAAGUCUCCUGGAAUGGAGCAUCAAAGAGGGUGAGAAUCCCGUCUAGACACGCUGAAUUGUAAUAAUACGAUGCACUCUCCAAGAGUCGAGUUGUUUGGGAAUGCAGCUCAAAAUGGGUGGUAAAUUUCAUCCAAGGCUAAAUACAGGCAAGAGACCGAUAGCGAACAAGUACCGUGAGGGAAAGAUGAAAAGCACCUUGAAAAGGGAGUUAAAUAGCGCGUGAAAUUGUUAAAAGGGAAACGAUUGAAGCCAGCAUUGUGUUUUGUAGAGUGGGUGUGUAAGUUGGUGGUGUGAGUGCAAACCACACUUUAAUGUAAGCACUCCAAGCAAGACACGAGUCAGGGCCGCUUCGGAGUGCCCUUGAAGAGGUCAGAAAGGUAACCAUCACUUGAUGAUGGUCUUAUAGUCUGGCUGGAUGGGGUGCACUGGAGAUGGGAUAAGUCGUACUUGGUUUGUUCAUCUGGGCGUGAACGUGAGUAUACUCUGCAUGCAGAUUACUCGCACUAAGCGCUCACAAUGCAAACUAAAGACUGUACUUGACGCAAUGGCUUUAAACGACCCGUCUUGAAACACGGACCAAGGAGUCUAACAUGUAUGCGAGUGUUUGAGUGGCAAACUCGAACGCGCAAUGAAAGUGUAAUAUGUGGGAACAAUUAUAGUUGGGCACCAUGGACCGAUCUUGAUAUCUCUUGAUGGAUUCGAGUCAGAGCAUAAAUGUUGGGACCCGAAAGAUGGUGAACUAUGCCUGGAUAGGAUGAAGCCAGAGGAAACUCUGGUGGAGGUCCGCAGCCGUUCUGACGUGCAAAUCGAUGGUCAAAUCUGGGCAUAGGGGCGAAAGACUAAUCGAACCAUCUAGUAGCUGGUUCCCUC